CAUGUCCUCCUGACCCUUCUGUUGCUAGGUCAAAUACAUGUCCCCCUGACACUUCUGUUGGACAUACUGUUGCUAGGUUAAAUACAUGUCCCUUUGACCCUUCUGUUGGACAUACUGUUGCUAGGUAAAAUACAUGUCCCCCGGACCCUUCUGUUGCUAGGUCAAAUACAUGUCCCCCUGAUCCUUCUGUUGGACAUACUGUUUCUAGGUCAAAUACCUCUGCCCCGGACCCUUCUGUUGGACAUACUGUUGCUAGGUCAAAUACAUGUCCACCUGACCCUUCUGUUGGACAUACUGUUGCUAGGUGAAAUACAUGUCCCUACGACCCUUCUGUUGGACUUACUGUUGCUAGGUAAAAUACAUGUCCCCCUGACCCUUCUAUUGGACAUACUGUUGCUAGGUCAAAUACAUGUCCCCCGGACCCUUAUGUUGGACAUACUGUUGCUAGGUCAAAUACAUUUCCCCCUGACCCUUCUGUUGGACAUACUGUUGCUAGGUCAAAUACAUGUCCCCCGGACCCUUCUGUUGGACAUACUGUUGCUAGGUCAAAUACAUGUCCCCCUGACCCUUCUGUUGCUAGGUCAAAUACAUGUCCCCCUGACCCUUCUGUUGCUAGGUCAAAUACAUCUCCCCCCGACCCUUCUGUUGCUAGGUCAAAUACAUGUCCUCCUGACCCUUCUGUUGCUAGGUCAAAUACAUGUCCCCCUGACCUUUCUGUUGGACAUACUGUUGCUAGGUUAAAUACAUGUCCCCUUGACCCUUCUGUUGGACAUACUGUUGCUAGGUAAAAUACAUGUCCCCCGGACCCUUCUGUUGCUAGGUCAAAUACAUGUCCCCCUGAUCCUUCUGUUGGACAUACUGUUGCUAGGUCAAAUACAUGUCCCCCUGACCCUUCUGUUGGAUUUACUGUUGCUAGGUCAAAUACAUGUCCCCCGGACCCUUCUGUUGGACAUACUGUUGCUAGGUCAAAUACAUGUCCCUCUGACCCUUCUGUUGCUAGGUCAAAUACAUGUCCUCU
rnacentral:lncRNA from 1 species